rnacentral:pre_miRNA from 1 species
UUACUAUUCCCUCCGUUCGGAAUUACUUGUCGUAGAAAUGGAUGUAUCUAGAUGUAUUUUAGUUCUAGAUACAUCCAUUUUUAAGACAAGUAAUUCCGAACGAAGGGAGUAACUA